GUGUGACCGGACGGGCAUCGAUAACUGCGGGGAUGGCUCGGACCAGGCAGCCCACCCCCCUGCCGCGUGCAGAGGCCGCCCUCCCACAUCAGCAUUUCUCCAGCCUGCGAGCAGCCCUGCAGCCCACGUCACCCCCUGCAUGGCAGCCUGUGGCGGGGCAGAGAAGAGCCAGCCCUUGGCCCCAGACACCGCGCCCCAGGACGAGCCUGCAGCAGCCCUUUUCCUUCCUCUCCAGGUGAGAGGAGCUCAUGCUCCCUGCUGGCCCUCUACCUCCUCCUGGGGCUGGGCGUGGGCUCAGCCCUCCUGCUCUGGUGCUGCUGGUCCCCUGGCUGGUUUGUCUGGAGACUCGGGACCUGCCGGUUCCUGCCUGGCUGCAACUCCAUGUGGGCCUCGUGCCAGCUCUGCCCCCACAGCUGUGCCCACAGGAACCAUGGCUGUUCCAGCAAAGUCACGCCGCAGCACAGCGCCGACCUGCCCAUCUGAUGUCAGCUACGCCAUCUGCGCCCUGGCCGGAGGAGCAGGGAUCCGACCUUUCCUGUCUGUGCUGCAGAGAUUCUCUCCGCUGGCUUGGGUCAUCGCAGGACGGGCUGCGGUUACGAGCUGGGGGGGCGGGGUGGGAAGAGGACGGGGCAGCUCCCAAUACCUCCUCUG
rnacentral:lncRNA from 1 species